GACGAACGCUGGCGGCGUGCUUAACACAUGCAAGUCGAACGGAAAGGCCCUGCUUUUGUGGGGUGCUCGAGUGGCGAACGGGUGAGUAACACGUGAGUAACCUGCCCUUGACUUUGGGAUAACUUCAGGAAACUGGGGCUAAUACCGGAUAUGAGCUCCUGCUGCAUGGUGGUGGUUGGAAAGUUUCGGCGGUUGGGGAUGGACGCGCGGCUUAUCAGCUUGUUGGUGGGGUAGUGGCUUACCAAGGCUUUGACGGGUAGCCGGCCUGAGAGGGUGACCGGCCACAUUGGGACUGAGAUACGGCCCAGACUCCUACGGGAGGCAGCAGUGGGGAAUAUUGCACAAUGGGCGGAAGCCUGAUGCAGCAACGCCGCGUGCGGGAUGACGGCCUUCGGGUUGUAAACCGCUUUCGCCUGUGACGAAGCGUGAGUGACGGUAAUGGGUAAAGAAGCACCGGCUAACUACGUG
rnacentral:rRNA from 1 species